GAAGAAUCGACUCUUUUGCCGACUCCCCAUCAGCAGCGCAAGCCGGGGAGACGCUGUAGGUCAAUGAGGAAUGUGUCCCAACACACAGUGCACUGCUGUCUACACUUGGAAAUACCUACAAUGAGCAUGUGAAACCCUCAACUGAAACUGCACCUUGGAGCAAUGGAAGAAGGGAAGUGAUGGCACCAGGAUGCACUGAGGGAAGAUGACAAACUGGUGGAGGGAGUGUGUUGUUCUUGGCAGUGUUCUAAUGGGAAAACCCU